AUGAUAUUUGAUCAUACCUUUAAUUAGUAGCAAGUCUACUUAAAGAUGGGAGUUUCUUUGCUAUUUGAAAUGAAUGCUUGCUGGUUUAGUAGAUUGCAGAUGCAUGUCAGUUUCGUUCCACGGAAGAUCAACAGAUGGUGUUGACAGAUCCAUUUUGAUUUAGGUUCUAAUUAUUUUGAAGGAUGCAGUGUUUCGUUAUGUUAUUGUUGCCAUGGAUCACUCCAAAGUGCAAGGGAUGAAGUUUUGAUACAGCAUGCUGGCUUUUUAUCGAACCCUUUGAAUUGUUGGUGGUGUAGCUGCUGUUUUGCCUGAGAAAAUCAUACACAACCAUAUGCUAAGUAUGAAAAUUUGAAAACAUAGUUUUGCCUUGUAUUGUGUUGAUAAAAUAUGUCUUGUACAGUUUUUGUAUUUUGAACCCUUUUUAAUGACGUUGUUUGCUGCAUAAUCUUGGCUUUUGUUUUUUUUGUUUUUAAUGAGUUUUUGUAAUCUUCACAAACGGGGUCUUUUGAGUUUGGAAUUUUUUUUUUAAUUUUUUUGAAUCACUAAUAUUGUAUUAUCCAAAUAAAAGUCUACUCAUAUUUACAUAAGACAUUUACUGAACUACCUAGAUCAAGUUGUAUUAUAACAUAGCUUAGAGUUGUAUUAUGAUAUAGCUUAGAUUUCUACCCUCAUAAAUGUUGGGGGAUAAUUCAUAAUUGUUUCACCUACAAAUCAGUGAAAGAUAUAAUCAUCUCUACUUUACUUUUAUUUAAGAGAGGAACGCAAAGUCUCUUUCGAAGAGGCUCGAAGAGACCAUUUGUUGUCUAUGUGUUUAUGACAAUAUUUAAUAAAUUUUGGGUACACAAGCCAUAGAAAUUAUGAGCUCAAACUAAUAUAGAAAACCAAAGAAAAUAAACUCUCAUAGCCAAUUACGGAAACCUAAUUUUAUAAUUUAAUUGAUGUAAAUUGUGUGCUCAUAAUUGAUAAUCUUAGAAUUGAUAGGUAUAAUUGCUGUGGAGCGUCAAUAAUAAAUCUCUAUAAUUAGAAACCACAAUGCUAAUUCUUUUUUUUUUUUUUAAUGUGUUAUCACAUUCAUUUCCCUUAAAUUCUUUUAGGUAUAGUUGAAUAUUAUUCACGGAUUAGUAGAAAAUAAAAAUUGAUUUUUUUAUUAUUCAAUCUAUUGCCCAGUAGAUUCUUUUCUUACGUAGAGGGUAUAUUCUAAGUAAUCAAAUCACUUACAUUACUGUUUAGAUUGAAAUUCAGUGAAAUUGGUACCGAGUUCGUUAAUGAUGUUCGACAAUCACUCAAUUACUGAAUGCAAGUCCACUGUCGUUGGUGUCAAAAAUUUGGCUUCGACUAGGACUUUUGACACCCUUCAAAAUUACUCAGAAAACCAUUUUUUAUUGAAAUUAUAAAAAUGAUCAAAGAUAGCUUAAUUCAUUUCUUAUUUUAAAUAAAAAUUCAAUCAAUGCUUAAAUAAUUUAUUCUCUUAACAAAUUUUUUACAUCACCCCAUUUCACUAUAUUUCUGUAUUUUAAAUUUUAAUUGAAACUUAUUUUUUUUUGACAAAAUUAUAAGAGCUUAGAGUUAUGGAGAUAGCAAUGAUAUAAUGAGAAUAAAAUUUUUUAAGAUUUUAGAAUCUGUAUAUAUUUUAUAAAUAAAAACUUAAAGAAAUAGAUAAUAUCUAUUUUUGGGUGAAAUUUGAUGAGAAGAUGAUUUUUUUUAAUAUUUUAAUAUUUAUUUUAUAAAAUGAGAUAUUUCAGGGAAAAAAAAAUCAAAAUGGAUGUUAUAAGGAUUUUAGUAGCGCGUAAAAAAAAAAAACUCCAUUUUAACACGCUGCGUGUUAAAAGUUCCAUCCUUUGGUUUAAUAUCGAAGCACGCCACUGGCAGGCCGAACCAAGUCCAACAUAGUAGCUAUCAAGUAACAUGCCAAUUUAUUCCCAAUUCUUAUACACCUUAAUUAGUUUAUUUAUAUAUAUGACACCUUAAUUAAUUUAAGUUAAUAACUCAAGAUUUUCGUCAAAUUUUUAAAUAAAACAUUAGCUACGUGUGAAGAUUUUGAGGAUGCAGACUGCAAAACUCAAGCUAGUUCUUUGAUUGCUUCACCAAGGAAGUCUGAAGUUUCACAAUUAAAUGUGUUUGCAGCAUCAGAAGAGGAGGACACUUGUCCCAUUUGUCUUGAAGGUGUGGUUUAUUUAGUUUUUCAUGUUCUUUAAUUCUAUUUAUUAUCUACUCUAUGCCAAUUUGCAGGUGAAUCGGCAGUGAAGUCAAGGAAUAGACAGUGAAGUCAAGCAGCUCAUAAUUAAUGCUUAAAAUUAUGGGUUCUUCCGCUUGCAGAGUAUGAUACCGAGAAUCCGAAACUUAUCACAAAAUGUGAGCAUCAUUUCCACCUAUCUUGCAUUUUGGAGUGGAAUGAAAGAAGUGAAUCCUGCCCCAUAUGUGAUCAGGUUUGCUUCUUGCAAUUACUUGUAUGUGCAAUAACUAGGUGUUUUUUUUCAAUUCUCUUGUUUAAUUGCCUUAUAAUUAAGAGCCUGUUCCUUCCGUUUCUCUUUUCUCCAUAAAAUCAUGCACAUUCUGCAUCAUUUUACGGUAAUCUUUCAUCUGAGAAGUUAGAAUUUUUAGAAGGAAGAGAAUGAUUGAAUUACUGAGAUACAUGUACUUUCAAAUGUAAUAACUUUUGAGCUAAUUAGAUGUGUAUUGUUGAUGCUUGUAGAUUGCUUGAACCUGAGCUUUUAAUUUUUGAGGAUUCAAUUGAAUAUGUAGGUUUCUGUUGGUGUGUUGUGCACAGCAUAUUCUUAUGAACUAAUGAAAGUUUUUUAAUCUUUAUUUUCUCAGGAAAUGAUAUUUGAUCAUACCUUUAAUUAGUAGCAAGUCUACUUAAAGAUGGGAGUUUCUUUGCUAUUUGAAAUGAAUGCUUGCUGGUUUAGUAGAUUGCAGAUGCAUGUCAGUUUUGUUCCACGGAAGAUCAACACAGAUGGUGUUGACAGAUCCAUUUUGAUUUAGGUUCUAAUUAUUUUGAAGGAUUCAGUGUUUUCAUUAUGUUAUUGUUGCCAUGGAUCACUCCAAAGUGCAAGGGACGAAGUUUUGAUACAGCAUGCUGGCUUUUUAUCGAACCCUUUGAAUUGUUGGUGGUGUAGCUGCUGUUUUGCCUGAGAAAAUCAUACACAACCAUAUGCUAAGUAUGAAAAUUUGAAAAUAGUUUUUUUUGCCUUGUAUUGUGUUGAUAAAAUAUGUUUUGUACACUUUUUUUUGUAUUUUAAACCCUUUUUAAUGUCGUUGUUUGCUGCAUAUUCUU
rnacentral:lncRNA from 1 species